GUGGCUGUAGUUCAGUUGGUAGAGCACCAGGUUGUGAUCCUGGCUGUCGCGGGUUCGAGUCCCGUCAGCCACCCCCACC
rnacentral:tRNA from 1 species